GCCAUUAUAUUUACCGCAAGUACGCUGGUACGUGCUGCAUGCCGUGCUCUUGUAUGGCUCCAUCCUCCACGGCAGCAAACGCCCAAUUUUUAGUCCAUAUGCUUAUGCUUCGUUUGCGUGUAUCCAACAUAAACGUCUGAAAUGCAUACGGGUGCAUAUUAGUUUCGGACUGCAAGUCUGCACGAUGUGGACCUGCAUGCACCAACCGUCGCGCGUGUUGAUGGCUGUCCUUUU
rnacentral:lncRNA from 1 species